AGAGUUUGAUCCUGGCUCAGAUUGAACGCUGGCGGCAUGCCUUACACAUGCAAGUCGAACGGCAGCACGGGAGCAAUCCUGGUGGCGAGUGGCGAACGGGUGAGUAAUGUAUCGGAACGUACCUUUCAGUGGGGGAUAACGUAGCGAAAGUUACGCUAAUACCGCAUAUUCUGUGAGCAGGAAAGCAGGGGAUCGCAAGACCUUGCGCUGAUUGAGCGGCCGAUAUCAGAUUAGCUGGUUGGUGAGGUAAAGGCUCACCAAGGCGACGAUCUGUAGCGGGUCUGAGAGGAUGAUCCGCCACACUGGAACUGAGACACGGUCCAGACUCCUACGGGAGGCAGCAGUGGGGAAUUUUGGACAAUGGGGGCAACCCUGAUCCAGCCAUGCCGCGUGAGUGAAGAAGGCCUUCGGG
rnacentral:rRNA from 1 species